GGUCGGGUGGCCGAGUGGCUAGGCAGAGGUCUGCAAAACCUCGUACGACGGUUCGAAUCCGCCUCCGACCUC
rnacentral:tRNA from 1 species